GCUGCACAUUGUUAAAGCCUGGCGUUGAGGCUGCCGACUGACCGAGGAACUCACAAGCGUAGGUGAAGUGCUGCAUGAGGGGCAAGUCUUGCACUAAAACCACAAGGGUCUCUAGCCCAAUGAGUGGAGUUUGAUAAUAAUUCUUGCUACAAGU
rnacentral:snoRNA from 1 species